ACCUAGCUGGCUCACCUGGUGGAGCGUGCGACUCUUGAUCUCAAGGUUGUGGGUUCGAGCCCUAUGUUGGGUA
rnacentral:tRNA from 1 species